rnacentral:tRNA from 1 species
GCGAGGGUAGUGUAAUGGUAGCACGCAAGACUUCAGAUCUUGAAGCGAAGACUCCAAUCUUCUAGUGUGGGUUCGAUUCCCAUCUCUCGCU